rnacentral:rRNA from 1 species
UACGGAGGAUGCAAGCGUUAUCCGGAAUGAUUGGGCGUAAAGCGUCCGCAGGUGGCUAUGUAAGUCUGCUGUUAAAGAGUGAGGCUCAACCUCAUAAGAGCAGUGGAAACUACAUAGCUAGAGUGCGUUCGGGGCAGAGGGAAUUCCUGGUGUAGCGGUGAAAUGCGUAGAUAUCAGGAAGAACACCGGUGUCGGAAAGCGCUCUGCUAGGCCGCAACUGACACUGAGGGACGAAAGCUAGGGGAGCGAAUGGG